rnacentral:rRNA from 1 species
GCCUACGGCCAUACCACCCUGAACAUGCUCCAUCUCGUCUGAUCUUGGAAGCUAAGCAGGGUCGGGCCUGGUUACUAGUUGGAUGGGAAAAAUAACAGCAGCUGGGAU